rnacentral:rRNA from 1 species
GCUUACCAUGCAAGUCGUACGAUGGAAGCCCAUAUUGCUGGGUGGAUUAGUGGCGAACGGGUGAGUAACACGUGAGUAACCUGCCCUUAACUCUGGGAUAAGCCUGGGAAACUGGGUCUAAUACCGGAUAGGAGCGUCCACCGCAUGGUGGGUGUUGGAAAGAUUUAUCGGUUUUGGAUGGACUCGCGGCCUAUCAGCUUGUUGGUGAGGUAAUGGCUCACCAAGGCGACGACGGGUAGCCGGCCUGAGAGGGUGACCGGCCACACUGGGACUGAGACACGGCCCAGACUCCUACGGGAGGCAGCAGUGGGGAAUAUUGCACAAUGGGCGAAAGCCUGAUGCAGCGACGCCGCGUGAGGGAUGACGGCCUUCGGGUUGUAAACCUCUUUCAGUAGGGAAGAAGCGAAAGUGACGGUACCUACAGAAGAAGCACCGGCUAACUACGUGCCAGCAGCCGCGGUAAUACGUAGGGUGCGAGCGUUAUCCGGAAUUAUUGGGCGUAAAGAGCUCGUAGGCGGUUUGUCGCGUCUGUCGUGAAAGUCCGGGGCUUAACCCCGGAUCUGCGGUGGGUACGGGCAGACUAGAGUGCAGUAGGGGAGACUGGAAUUCCUGGUGUAGCGGUGGAAUGCGCAGAUAUCAGGAGGAACCACCGAUGGGCGAAGGCAGGUCUCUGGGCUGUAACUGACGCUGAGAGC